GACGAACGCUGGCGGUGUGCUUAACACAUGCAAGUCGAACGGUAAGGCCCUUUCGGGGGUACACGAGUGGCGAACGGGUGAGUAACACGUGAGUAACCUGCCCUCAUCUCUGGGAUAACAGUCGGAAACGGUUGCUAAUACUGGAUAUGAGCUUGCAAGGCAUCUUGUGGGUUGGAAAGAUUUUUUUUGGUUGGGGAUGGACUCGCGGCCUAUCAGCUUGUUGGUGAGGUAGUGGCUCACCAAGGCUUCGACGGGUAGCCGGCCUGAGAGGGCGACCUGCCACAUUGGGACUGAGAUACGGCCCAAACUCCUACGGGAGGCAGCAGUGGGGAAUAUUGCACAAUGGACGGAAGUCUGAUGCAGCAACGCCGCGUGCGGGAUGACGGCCUUCGGGUUGUAAACCGCUUUCAAUUGUGACGAAGCUUUUUUGUGACGGUAGCAGUAGAAGAAGCACCGGCUAACUACGUG
rnacentral:rRNA from 1 species